GGAACGGGCAACGGUAGGUCAUUUUGCCCCAAAUGAGUUGGGCUACACGCGGGCUACAAUGGCCGGGACAAUGGGAUGCCACCUCGAAAGAGGGCCCUAAUCUCCUAAACCCGGUCGUAUUUCGGAUUGAGGGCUGAAACUCGCCCUCAUGAAGCUGGAUUCGGUAUUAAUCGCGUUUCAGCAAACCGCGGUGAAUACCUCCCUGCUCCUUGCACAUCCUCUUACCUCUCCCUCCUCCUUGCACAUGGGGUUAA
rnacentral:rRNA from 1 species